rnacentral:lncRNA from 1 species
AAUUACUUGGAGAAAAUUUUCCAAUCAAGAAAAAAUAUAACAUUGGUCAAAACUCGAGGAUGAGCUCUUUUCCACCUUGGAAAGAAUGAUGUUGGAGCUUCCCCUUGACAAAAUUUAUUAAUUUUAAAAUUUUAUUAUGGAUGAGUUCUUCCCCACCUUGAGGAAAAUGAUGUUGGAGCCUGCUUGACAAAAUUUAUUGAUUUUUUUUAAUGAUUUUAA